rnacentral:rRNA from 1 species
UACGGAGGGUGCGAGCGUUAAUCGGAAUUACUGGGCGUAAAGCGUGCGUAGGCGGUUCGUUAAGUCAGAUGUGAAAGCCCUGGGCUCAACCUGGGAACGGCAUUUGAAACUGGCGGACUAGAGUUUAGUAGAGGGGAGUGGAAUUUCAGGUGUAGCGGUGAAAUGCGUAGAUAUCUGAAGGAACACCAGUGGCGAAGGCGACUCCCUGGACUAGAACUGACGCUGAGGUACGAAAGCGUGGGUAG